rnacentral:rRNA from 1 species
CGAAUUGGGCCCUCUAGAUGCAUGCUCGAGCGGCCGCCAGUGUGAUGGAUAUCUGCAGAAUUCGGCUUAGAGUUUGAUCCUGGCUCAGGACGAACGCUGGCGGCGUGCUUAACACAUGCAAGUCGAGCGGUAAGGCCCUUCGGGGUACACGAGCGGCGAACGGGUGAGUAACACGUGGGUGAUCUGCCCUGCACUUCGGGAUAAGCCUGGGAAACUGGGUCUAAUACCGGAUAUGACCUUCGGCUGCAUGGCUGAGGGUGGAAAGGUUUACUGGUGCAGGAUGGGCCCGCGGCCUUUCAGCUUGUUGGUGGGGUAAUGGCCUACCAAGGCGACGACGGGUAGCCGACCUGAGAGGGUGACCGGCCACACUGGGACUGAGACACGGCCCAGACUCCUACGGGAGGCAGCAGUGGGGAAUAUUGCACAAUGGGCGAAAGCCUGAUGCAGCGACGCCGCGUGAGGGAUGACGGCCUUCGGGUUGUAAACCUCUUUCAGCAGGGACGAAGCGAAAGUGACGGUACCUGCAGAAGAAGCACCGGCCAACUACGUGCCAGCAGCCGCGGUAAUACGUAGGGUGCAAGCGUUGUCCGGAAUUACUGGGCGUAAAGAGCUCGUAGGCGGUUUGUCGCGUCGUCUGUGAAAACUCGAGGCUCAACCUCGAGCUUGCAGGCGAUACGGGCAGACUUGAGUACUGCA